ensembl:lncRNA
GAAUGAAUGCCACAUUAAUAUACACUUAUGUUUUUGCAUGUUUGCAACGUUUAAAAGUUCAGGGGAAAGUUUAUGUCUGUCUUCUGGGGUUGCUUAAAACAACAGCCUUUUGAGGGAGUGUUGUUUCUGAAUAUUAGUGUUAAGGGCCAAUAAUGCUUACUAUCAUACAUUAGUCACCAUGUCUGUGGACACAAUUGUAAGCAGUCACAUGUUAAUAUACCCCCCCCUGCUAAAAUCUCACUCUGAACUCAGUUCAAAACUUGAGAGCCCUGUUUCCGUUGACUCCCGAGCUGCCCUUGCCCUAGCUAAAUCGUACAAUGAAUGGUUUAUUCUAUAUGAUUUGUAUUCUGUCAAUUUUUCUCGCACCACCCGUAUCAGGAAACAUUUGCCUUGGAACCCCUGUGGUAGUGACUAUACAAUGUAAAAACAUUUCAACCGGAGAUGGAUAUUAUAAAUACCCCUGGUCUCUGCCUCCGGGUAAAGUGUGUAAAGAUCUUGAAGUCUACGCCGACAAUCAGCCGAUACUACUGGCCCAACAUCCUAACGCAACACUCCCUAAACUAACACAGUGUCGAAACCUGACUGUGAGAUGCAUCUACGAAAUGAAUGGCACUGUAAAUGUGGAUGAGAUGUGCAGGGAAUUUGUCACCGAUUCAGAUGCUUCCUCUUUAUCAGAGCCAGAAAGACCUAAACAACAGUUAAACAACACAAGUGAACAGACUGACGUGGACUCAGUGAAAAAUGAACCAUCACCCAUGGAUCAAAGUACCCAGCCAGGUGAUGUUUUUUUCCCCUUUCUUUUGGACGUUUCCAUGACAUCAGGUUCCAUUACAUUAUCUAGUUGUGUCACCGUCAAGUGUCGAACAGUGAGAGAUUUCAUGUCAUAUUCAAUGAUGCCAUACAUGUAGCUGAGGCUAUUUUUUGAAGUUGCUAUGUACCCAUCAGUGGCGUUUUGGAUUACUGUUGUUGGGCCGGUGGUGGUGUUGGCGGUGGUGGGCGCAGCGUGGUGGUGUGUACGAAAAAAGAAACCGAUGCCAACCCAGAACCAAGGACUGGAGUUAACUGAAAUGAACAGACCCGACGAUGGUGAUCAGACACCAUCAGGACAUGGGGACACGACUGAAGACGGGGCUCUCCCUGAGAAGACAACUGAGAAACCGAAGAGCAAUCACUGUUACGUGGAACUGAUGAGACGGAAAACCUGCUGGAAUGGAGAUUGUAAAGAUUGAGGGCGAGGUAUAGCCUGGGUAUACCCAUGCUGCCAUGCGCGAGAUUUCAUUUUGCCCUGCUAGGCAGCCUGGAUUCCAUGGAUCCGAUGUUCGCUUCAGGGAGGGAACCAGGGCGAGGGGACAGCUAGACGAUGACGACGUCUUUGCCACACUCCAAAGCUUGUACUUUGUUCAUAUCUAUGGAUCCAACAUGGUUGCAAAUGCAAAGUUGCCUUUCGAUGCAGCCUUAGAUAGUGUUCUAAGUAGUUAAGAACGCAAGAUGGUUUAAUUGAUACGAUGGUUUAAUUGAUACGAUUGGCUAUGAGCUACGUACAAACGCAUUUGAUAGACAUUCGUAAACACUCUGGGCAUUCGUAAACCACGCCUUAAAUACGAGAAAAUUAAUGUGUGGUUCCCAGACCAAAUCUCAAUGUAGAUUGAGGUGAGGUCUGGUGUUAGCCAGGAUUGUUGAAGUAUGCAAUUAUAUGAAAAUAGUACAAUGGUAUAGGAGAGACUUAUAUUCACAUGAGAAAGAUAUUUAGCUUUCUAAGUUUAGAUUUAGCUUUCUGCUAAAUCUUAAGUACAUUGCACUUUCUAUAAUGCAUUCUUCAAGAUUUGCAUGUAAAUUAAAAAAAUAUGUAUUAUAAAGUUAAUGAGGGCUGGCAAAUGUCCAGUUGGAAAGUUGUAAAUAUAUACAAAGGAACUCAAACAAUUUGAGGGAGGGUGGGGGCUUGCAACAGUGAGAGACCAUGUUAGGAGUUACUCAAUCUUUGGGGUGGGAUGGGACAUUUUUGCGUAGGUAGAGCUUUCAGAAAUUACUGUGCAGGGUUUCAUUUCUGUUUACAUUGAAACACCUUCUUCAUGAAAUGCAUUCAGAGAUGGAAUUGCUGUUUGAACUUUGCUUACUGUGACUUGUGAGAGUCAGCCCACAGUGUGAAGUCUUACAGCCUGCCGUCUGAUACAGCCUUUGUAUUUCUAUUUAUUUUAGAGGAGCUCUGGUAGUCUAGUUUUCCCAGCUUUAUUUUGUAGUUUAGUCUUGAUGUUGUUUUGGUAGUUUAAGAGCUACUGCUGGGUCCUACGGCCUACAGCGG